UACGUAGGGAGCGAGCGUUGUCCGAAGUUACUGGGCGUAAAGCGCGCGUAGGUGGCCCGCUCAGCGUGCGGUGAAAGCCUGGGGCUCAACCCCGGGUCGGCCGUGCGAACUGGUGGGCUGGAGCACUGUAGAGGCAGGCGGAAUUCCGGGUGUAGCGGUGGAAUGCGUAGAGAUCCGGAAGAACACCGGUGGCGAAGGCGGCCUGCUGGGCAGUGGCUGACACUGAGGCGCGACAGCGUGGGGAGCAAACAGG
rnacentral:rRNA from 1 species